GAUGAACGCUGGCGGCGUGCCUAAUACAUGCAAGUCGAGCGAACAGACGAGGAGCUUGCUCCUCUGACGUUAGCGGCGGACGGGUGAGUAACACGUGGAUAACCUACCUAUAAGACUGGGAUAACUUCGGGAAACCGGAGCUAAUACCGGAUAAUAUAUUGAACCGCAUGGUUCAAUAGUGAAAGACGGUUUUGCUGUCACUUAUAGAUGGAACCGCGCCGCAUUAGCUAGUUGGUAAGGUAACAGCUUACCAAGGCAACGAUGCGUAGCCGACCUGAGAGGGUGAUCGGCCACACUGGAACUGAGACACGGUCCAGACUCCUACGGGAGGCAGCAGUAGGGAAUCUUCCGCAAUGGGCGAAAGCCUGACGGAGCAACGCCGCGUGAGUGAUGAAGGUCUUCGGAUCGUAAAACUCUGUUAUUAGGGAAGAACAAAUGUGUAAGUAACUAUGCACGUCUUGACGGUACCUAAUCAGAAAGCCACGGCUAACUACGUG
rnacentral:rRNA from 1 species